rnacentral:rRNA from 1 species
AGGAUAAACGCUGGCGGCGUGCAUGAGACAUGCAAGUCGAACGGACGAUCAGGGCUUGCUCUGAUCGUUAGUGGCGGACGGCUGAGUAACGCGUAGGUGACCUGCCCCGAAGUGGGGAAUAACUGCCCGAAAGGGUGGCUAAUACCGCAUGUGGUGGUGUGUUCAUUCACACCAGUAAAGCCGCAAGGCGCUUCGGGAGGGGCCUGCGCCCGAUUAGCUCGUUGGUGGGUAACGGCUCACCAAGGCGACGAUCGGUAGGUGGUCUGAGAGGACGAUCACCCAGACUGGGACUGAGACACGGCCCAGACUCCUACGGGAGGCAGCAGUCGGGAAUUUUGCGCAAUGGACGAAAGUCUGACGCAGCAACGCCGCGUGAGGGAUGAAGGCCUUCGGGUUGUAAACCUCUUUUAUCAGGGAAGAUAAUGACGGUACCUGAUGAAUAAGUCACGGCUAACUACGUGCCAGCAGCCGC